UGCAGAGCUGAGCGUCGACCGCCUUUGUGACAUUCACCAUAAUGAGAGUUUACAAUCAAAUACGUAGAAAAGCGUACGUGAUUUUAGAAGGGAAAUCUACAACAUUUUAAAAAUUUUUAUACAUUUAUUUAAGAGUGUAAUAGUCCUCACAACAAAGUAAUCGAUCAUUUCUUUGCCUUAUGACAGCAGCGUGAUGCGAUGCAGAAAAUAUGGAAAUAAAGGAAGAUAUUCUAAAAAAUUGUUUUUUAUAAAGUCACCACAAACAGAUGCAAAAUAAUUAUAUGUAGAAUUAACAAAAUACACGAGACAAUCGUCCAAACAUACGUAGUGAAAUAAUAACUUUUAACAGAAUAGAAACAGUUGAAAUAAAAAGGUGUGUUUACAUCUGUGUGAGUCUUUCUUGCUGGUACUCACGGUCACGUUACUUUCUCCUCUCAGCCUGGCUGUACGUAUAUCUUCUUACAUACAGAGUGGAGCAGACAGAGAAACAGCAAAAGUAAAGGUAAUAUUAAUAUUGUUGACAAAGUCAUACUUUAAGUGCAAUAAAAGUCUGAAAGUCUCUCAAACUUUGAAGCCCUGGAAAUUAUUAUGAGUCGGCUUUCCUCACAGUAACCACAAACCUGCAUGAAUAUUCAUACCAAAUUAAUGAGAAAGACGUUUGUCCUUGUCAUUUCAUCAGCUGCACCUUUGUGUUAUCAUAAAGUGACUCACUGAGCGCUUUUCUAACCUCAUUAAAAUUCAAAAGGUGCAAUGUUGAACUGAAGGGAUGGUGAGUUUGUCCAAGGUUUUCUUCUGUGCCUGAAAAACACUCGAACCUUCGGCGCCUUUUGUUUCCUUGGAUCUCGACACGGCGACGUUAAUGAUGCUGCCAUUCAACCCGUCGCUCAUAAAUGGAAAAACAUCAACAGAAACCAGCAUAGAGGAGGAUGGAGGUGGGCUGACGUUAAUGCUGCAUUCACAGAAAUUUGGAGUUUUUUGCUCCUCAGACACGGAAACAUGUCCCAGUGCUUCCUGACAUUCAACUGUUCGGACAUCCCUCAGAAAUCAAUUUGCUUUCCAGUGUAUUCAAACUCUGAAGAAAGAGCCUUCUGCUUCCAGGGAGAUUGCACAGUCAUCAGGAUUUCUGAGGAAGUGCCAGCGUCAGGGUAGGAGUGAUUUUUCUGAACAGAACAAGAGAAAAGGUUUUAUUUUUUCCCUUUGCUUCAUUUCAACAGGGGAGCACAGAGGUGGUGUUGAAGAAGAGCCAGCGAGGAACUCUGCGAGAGCUGCGACAGGUCUUUAAAGAAGAAAUGAAAACACUGCAUCUUCUUCAACAUACACGUUUUAAAAGAACUGCCCUGGCAGUUUUAUUCCUUUAAUGCAAUCGUCAGGUCUUAACCUCAUAGCGGCCUGCCACCUUGCCUUUCCCCAACGACCACAGUUUCUACAGUUUUUUUGUGUGUAAAAACCUUUUUGCACAUUCUGCAUUUUAAAAUAUUUCAAUAAUAUCAACACUGAGGAAUACAUUAUAAACUAUGAAUAAAUACGUGACAAAAUA